UACAGAGGUCUCAAGCGUUGUUCGGAAUCAUUGGGCGUAAAGCGCGUGUAGGCGGCCCGGUAAGUCCGCUGUGAAAGUCGGGGGCUCAACCCUCGGAUGCCGGUGGAUACUGUCGGGCUCGAGUACGGAAGAGGCGAGUGGAAUUCCUGGUGUAGCGGUGAAAUGCGCAGAUAUCAGGAGGAACACCAAUUGCGAAGGCAGCUCGCUGGGACGUCACUGACGCUGAGACGCGAAAGCUUGGGGAGCAAACAGG
rnacentral:rRNA from 1 species